rnacentral:rRNA from 1 species
GAGCGAAUGGAUUGAGAGCUUGCUCUCAAGAAGUUAGCGGCGGACGGGUGAGUAACACGUGGGUAACCUGCCCAUAAGACUGGGAUAACUCCGGGAAACCGGGGCUAAUACCGGAUAACAUUUUGAACUGCAUGGUUCGAAAUUGAAAGGCGGCUUCGGCUGUCACUUAUGGAUGGACCCGCGUCGCAUUAGCUAGUUGGUGAGGUAACGGCUCACCAAGGCAACGAUGCGUAGCCGACCUGAGAGGGUGAUCGGCCACACUGGGACUGAGACACGGCCCAGACUCCUACGGGAGGCAGCAGUAGGGAAUCUUCCGCAAUGGACGAAAGUCUGACGGAGCAACGCCGCGUGAGUGAUGAAGGCUUUCGGGUCGUAAAACUCUGUUGUUAGGGAAGAACAAGUGCUAGUUGAAUAAGCUGGCACCUUGACGGUACCUAACCAGAAAGCCACGGCUAACUACGUGCCAGCAGCCGCGGUAAUACGUAGGUGGCAAGCGUUAUCCGGAAUUAUUGGGCGUAAAGCGCGCGCAGGUGGUUUCUUAAGUCUGAUGUGAAAGCCCACGGCUCAACCG